CCCCGUUUCAUCUCUCAUCCCCUUUCAUCAGAGACCAAGUUUAAAGGCCUAAACUUCCCCCACACCCUAGAACCAUCUCACUCCCCUCAUCUCAAAUCCCCAUUCCGUUUGCUUCGAAUUCCCCUGGAACUUCUCGAAUUGAAAAUCGAAAGUGAACCCUAAUAAUCCCAAAUCAAGAUUCUGUUCUAAUUUGAUUUUAUUCAUGUGUGCUUUGUAAGAACACACGAUUAAUAUCAGAUAUGGCAAAAAAUUAGAGGAUUUGAAGACUCGGGAUAUGUUCUUCAUUGUCCGAGCUUUGGUACGUAUUUUUUUCUUUUUCUCUCUGGUUCAAUCUUUUCUUCAUUUUUCUUUUUCUAUUUUUCUUCUUCUUCUUUUUUUCCAGAUCACUCCUUAUUUUUCUAGGUUCUUCAGGGACGUUUUUAUAUGCAUGUUAGUCUUAAGUCAUUUUCUUUCUUUACUCAACGAAUUUAGUCUGUUUAAUUAGUUAGUUUGGAUUUGUUAAUUUAGUUAAUUAUUUAACACUCCAUUCAGUCUAGAUUUUUAAUUUGUUUGAAAUCCUUUAAGUGUUGUUUUCCUUUGCUUUCCAUGAGAUUACAAGAUGCCUUGGAUUAUUUUUUUGGGCUUUGGGUUUCCGACCCAUUUUCAAAAAGAAAGGCAGCCGUUCAUUUAGUCAAGGCAUUGGGUUGACUUGACCCAUACAUGUUUGGGUUCCGUGUAGUAAAAAAAGUAGGGGUAUGAGGAGUAUUCUAGGUAUUGGAAUAGGAAAUCUGGGUGUAACAGAUUAAGGAAGCUUCUAAGAAGCUGGGGUUGGGACUAAUGUGGGACUUUAUUUUUAAACUGAGAGUCUCUAAGCAAUAACAAAAACUGAAAAAGGUUGAAAAUACAAAUUUGAAUUCUUUUACGCUGCCAUGCCUAUAAAGGCACAUUUUCUUCUAGCUAAAUGAGAUUUUGAAGAGAGAAAUAUCCUGAUUUAGAAACGGCUGCUUUCUUUGAUUCAAUCCUGAAAUAACCUAGAAUUUCCUGUAGUUUCCUUGUGAAAACUAUCCAACAUUCGGCUUGGUUUUAGUUUACUGAUCCUUUUUGUUAGUUAAAAUCCUGAAAAGUUUCAACUUCUUGCAUCUGAUAGAAAAUUACUUGAGUUUGGGGUUUCAAAAUUUGCUUGAGUUGCUGGUUUCUUGUGAUGACCCGACCCGUCGCCAAGUGAGUUACUGCCCCAUUUUUUCUAUUUACUGCUUCUUUAUGCUUCAUUAUGAGUGUUUUGAGUGAACGAGUUGAUUUACAUUGAAUUGAGAAGGAAAUGGGACACUUAGUCUCUUUAAGGAAGGUUUGUUUGGAAAAGUCAACCGGACAUUGACUUAUGUGCUAGGAGGCUCGGAUGUGAAUUUUGAUGAUUUGGUUAGCUUCGGGGGAUAAUUUGUGACUUAGUAAUGUUAUCUGAUGUGAUUUUGGAGGUCCGGUGUAAAUUAGGCUUGAAUUGGCGAAGUUAGUAUUUUGGCGAAUUCCGGUUGGCAGGUGAGAUUUUUAUCCGAGGGUCAGAAUGGAAUUUCAAGAGUUUUGUAGCUUCGUUAGGUGAUUUGGGAUAUGUAUGAAAAAUUUUAGGUCAUUCGAAGGUGUUUUUCUUGGGUUUUUAAUCAAAUGCGUGUUUCGGAAGUUUUAGAAGAACAUAGGCUUGAAUCCGAUGUAAUUUGAUGGUUUUGGUUUUGUUUGUGGUGUUUUGAUGAUUGGAGGAAGUUUGAAUGAUGUUUUAGGAUGGGUUGGCUCUUUUGGUUGAGGUCCCCGGGGCCUCGGGUGAGUUUCCGAUGGCUAAACGGGAAGUUUUAAACUUGGAAAUGCAGCAGCAGUUGCAGGCCUCCCAAAUGCGAGAAAAGGGUUUGUAUUUGCGAAAAGGCUAGCCUGAGGUAGGGUUCACAUUUACGAUUGUUUGAUCGCAAUUGCGACCUUGGUAGGGUUUGCAUUUGCGAGAAAUGUGUCGCAUAUGCGACCUUGGAAGGGUCCGCAAUUGCGAGCCAGAUGUCGCAUUUGUGACCUUGGACGGAGAGGCUCACCUUCGCAAUUCAGAAGGUUUUGUCGCAUUUGCGAACCAGGUGUCGCAAAUGCGACAUCUGAGGGUUGUGUCCAGUUAUAAAAAAUCGAACUUAGCCAGUUUCCCUCACUUCCCACUUGGCUUUGGGCAAUUUGUGAGAGCUUUUGGACGGAUAUUGAAGAGGGUAUCUACUGGGAUUGAUUGGAGGUGAGUUCUAUGAACUAAAAACAUUAUUUAAUUGUAGAAUCAACCUAGAAAUUCAUGUAAUCUUAGCAAAAAUGGGGGAAGAACUAGGGCUUAUGUUUUGGUAUUGCAAAUUGGGAUUUGAGGGGUCAUUUGGACUCCGAUUUUGGUGUUCUUUAUAUGUAUAAACGCAUGGCGAGAUAAGGAACCGGUUUGUAUAAGUAUUUCUGAGUUUGAAGAAGUGAGCCCGGGGCUCGGGUUCAGCUAAUUUCAAGAUUUUUGCUAUUUUUUGAUUGCGUAUUGUUCCAUUGGCAUAUUGUGACGUAUUCUUUCUGGCUUUAUCGAAUUCAACAUGUGAGGAGGUCGACUUGAAAGGCAAAGGCAUAGCGAGCUAGGAUUUUGGCCAGCUUGAGAUGAGUAAUAGAUGUAAAUGAUGUCUUGAGCGUUUGAAAUCCCGUAUUUGCGCAUCGUUGUGUUAUAAUGAGAUGACUUGCACGCCAGGUAGUGACCGUGGGUUAGAGCACCGUUGGGGAUUGUGACUUGGUCCAUCCCGAUAAAUGAAUAUACUUUGUAUUUAACUGAAAUUCCUUAUUAUUAUUAUUAUGAUUUGAGAUGAUUCCUAUGUUUGAGCUUUGUGCCAAUUGAUUGAAUCCUCCAGGGAUUGCUACUACCGGUUUCUUACCUUUUUUAAGUAUUAUUGAACUUAGUCCUGGCAUUUAAUACUACUUUUCAAACUCAGCCAUUUUUUCUCAAACUUGAAACUUAAAUAAUGUUUCUAUGAAGUUUGGGCUGAAUAUUUAUAUAUCGUUGUGCCCGAGGGGCUUAUGUGAUUCUGGACUGAGCAUGGGAUCGGGCUGCGCGCCGCAGCAGUACUAUAUUGAUAUUGAUAUGAGACCGAAGGCCUAGUUGAUACUACGAGAUUGCUUAUAUUGCACUUGGGCCGUAAGGGGCCCCUCCCGGAGUUUGCACACCUCAGUCAGCGCCGUCGAUGAUAAACAAAAGGGAGCGCGCUGCACGCUGCAGCAGGUACUAGAGAGUACCGGACUAUGUGUUGCAUUUCAUUUUUGCAUGUCAUUUACUUACUAUUUGUUGUAGCAUUUCCAUGAUUGUUGUUAUUAGUUUACUGAUUGACUUCUAUCUGGUUCAGGUUGCUGUAUUUAUAGAAUUACUUUGUGCCUAUUCGGGAUUUCUUAUUCUCAGCAUUUAUUUAUGUUUAUUAUUAACUGGGUCGGAGUACUCACAUUACUCCCUGCACCUUGCGUGCAGAUCCAUGUACAUCUGAGGUUGAGUUAGGAUUUCUCUACCGAGCAGUUUAUUCGGGAGCAUCAAGGUAGCUGUAUGACGUCUGUAGUCCUGAUCUUCCUUCUACCUUAUUUGCUUUAUUGUCGCAUUUCUAUAGAACGAUAUGUAGUAGAUUGAUACUCGGGUAUUAGAGGCUCAGACUUAUGACACCGGAUUCUUCGGGCUGUGUAGUUUACUCGAGAUUCUGCAUGUUUUAGUUCUUAUUUCAGACUUUCAAUAUUAUGAUUUAGUAAAUUAUCUGUGUUAAUUAACUCCUGAUUGGUAUAAAAUGGUUAAGGUUAUUGAAUUGGUCGGGCUUUCCUAGAAGUGUGGUGGGAGCCAUCACGACAGGGGUUGGGGCCGUGACAAGUUGGUAUUAGGGCCUAGGUUACUUGGUCUCGCGAGUCAUGAGCCGGUUUAGUAGAGUCUUGCGGAUCGAUGCGGAAACGUCUGUACUUAUCCUCGGGAGGCUGCAGAACCUUUAGGUAAACUUCACAUUCUUGAAAUUCUUGUCGUGCGGCUUUGUUGAACUGAGAAAUAAACUUCUAAUA
rnacentral:lncRNA from 1 species